GGAUGCGAUCAUACCAGCCACAUAAUGCCCACCGGCGAUCGCCAUCAGAACUCCGAAGGUCAAGCGUGCUUGGGCGAGAGUGAGUACUAGGAUGAGGUGACCCCCUGUCCAAGCGUGCUUGCGCGCUCGAGAGUUACGUACUAGGAUGGGUGACCCCCUGGGAAUGUUCUCGUGUUGCAUCCC
rnacentral:rRNA from 1 species